rnacentral:rRNA from 1 species
UACGUAGGGUGCGAGCGUUAAUCGGAAUUACUGGGCGUAAAGCGUGCGCAGGCGGUUGUGCAAGACCGAUGUGAAAUCCCCGGGCUCAACCUGGGAAUUGCAUUGGUGACUGCACGGCUAGAGUGUGUCAGAGGGGGGUAGAAUUCCACGUGUAGCAGUGAAAUGCGUAGAGAUGUGGAGGAAUACCGAUGGCGAAGGCAGCCCCCCUGGGAUAACACUGACGCUCAUGCACGAAAGCGUGGGGAGCAAACAGG